UACGUAGGCAGCGAGCGUUGUUCGGAGUUACUGGGCGUAAAGGGUGUGUAGGCGGUUGUUUAAGUUUGGUGUGAAAUCUCCCGGCUCAACUGGGAGGGUGCGCCGAAUACUGAAUGACUUCGAGUGCGGGAGAGGAGAGUGGAAUUCCUGGUGUAGCGGUGAAAUGCGUAGAUAUCAGGAGGAACACCGGUGGUGUAGACGGCUCUCUGGACCGUAACUGACGCUGAGGCGCGAAAGCGUGGGGAGCAAACAGG
rnacentral:rRNA from 1 species